CAGAUAGACUUUUAUUUUGAAGGCGAUGUCUAGCAGGAAGUCGGCCGUCGGCCAUUUUUGUCGUAAUCACAACAAGCCGUGUGCAGCUAGUGCUAGUUAAGUGUUCAUCCAUGGUCAUCCUUGUUUCUGUUUGUGCCUUCGACAUCAUCGUCUUUUUACUCCAUGUUUUGGGAGAACACUGCAAUAAAAAGGAGCUUUGGAAGCUAUACCCUGACUCAGUGUCUACCUUAGCAGGAGUUAGGCUUACUGCUGAAUUGGUGUUAGAAACACACACAAGGAGAGCAGGAAAGUAAAAAGACGAUACGCAGCUGGCAACACAAUACACAGCAGCAGACUACAUGAACAUGGACAACGAUCAGAAGAAAAAUACUACAACAAAAGGCUUCAAGUCAUCUCAAAGUGGAUUGUCGGUCAGUCGUAAAAGCUUUAGCUCAACCAAAUCAUCAGUCAGCGCUGCUGCUGCAAAGGCAAGAGCCAAAGCAGAGGCUGCUCGUGCACGUGCAGCAUUUGCAGAGCGUGAAAUCAGUAUCAAGGUGAACAAAGCAAGACUAGAAGCCAGCCUCGAUGCCUUGCAGUUGGAAAGAGAAGCUGCAGCUGCUAAUGCCCAGGCAGAAGCUUUAGAGGCAGCAGCGGAGAUUGAGGAAGAGGAGCUCCGUAGCAAAAGGAGCUUCCCUGUCGUGGAGCAAGACACACAAGAACGCGUAAGCGAAUAUGUUCGUGACCAAACUACACAUUUUGACAAGCUCCCUGAACCUGUAGUCUUCCCAGAGACCGCAGAGCGAUCUAUUGAGCCUCACCUUAACGCGCCAACACCAUAUGUUCACAAAGAAGAAGAAUAUAUUAUGAAAGAUUCUUGGCCAGCCCCACCUCAACUUCAACAGAGACCAACAUCACUUCAGAGUUCUCAGGCAAUACAUGAAUCCAAAUCAUCAGUCCAACCGCACACCCAAGAGAAUUUCCAAGUCAAAAGAGAGAAAGACACUUACAACACCAAUCCCACAUCCAAGCUAACUUUCCCAAAGUACUCUGACACAUCUCACAUGUACCGAACCAGUCCAGAGUCUUCAGUUAUGUUGGACAUGGCAAAGUACCUGGCACGCAAAGAACUUGUUUGCACGGGCCUAUCAAACUUCGAUGAUCGUCCUGAAUCGUACAGAGCAUGGAAGUCCUCCUUCUUCAACACGAUCAAAGAUUUGGAUCUGACAGCUAGUGAACAGUUGGAUCUGCUUUCAAAAUGGCUUGGAAAAGAAUCAUCUGAACACGUGAGACGUCUGAGAGCAGUUAACAUUGGCAACCCAAAUGCAGCUCUACGAACAGCUUGGGAAAGACUUGAUGAAUGUUUUGGCGCUCCAGAAGUAAUUGAAAAUGCGCUUUUCGCAAAGCUCGACAACUUUCCUAGAAUCUCGAAUAAGGACAGCCAAAAAUUAAGGGAACUUGGAGACCUUUUAAAAGAGUUAUUGUCAGCAAAAGAAGAUGGAUACCUGUCAGGCUUGGCAUUCUUGGACACUGCUCGUGGCAUAAAACCAAUCGUGGAAAAAUUGCCAUUCAACCUGCAAGAGAGAUGGCUUUCUCAGGGAUCAAUGUACAAGCAAGAUCACAAGGUCAGUUACCCGCCUUUUUCUUACUUCACCUCUUUUAUCUGCUACCAAGCUAAAACAAGGAAUGAUCCCAGCUUUACCCUUUCUGGAAACAACCUAACAUUUGAAAGAGCAAUGCCGAAACAUAAAGCUCCUAGAACAGUGGUUUCAGUGCACAAGACAAAAGUUUCUACUGAUGUUACACAAGAUGAAACAGCUUCCGAAGAGGACGUGUCGAAGCAAUGUCCAAUCCAUAAAAGGCCUCACCCUUUAAAGAAAUGUCGGGGCUUCAGGCUAAAAACUCUUGCAGACAGAAAAGCAUACUUAAAGGAACAAGGCAUUUGUUUCAAAUGUUGCUCAUCAUCCUCCCACCCAGCUCGUGAUUGCAAAGCACGACUGAAAUGUGACGAGUGUGACAGUGAAAAUCAUAUAACGGCUCUUCACCCUGGUCCACCACCAUGGGCAGCUAGAGUCUCAAAUUCCCCGAAGAAUGAUGGCGGGGAGUCAGAGUUGGAGGAAACCACGAGAACUCCAGUCGUAAGUCCUCUGUGCACCAAAGUGUGCGGGGAUCAUCUCAAAGCAAAGUCGUGCUCAAAGAUCUGCCUCGUUAAAGUAUAUCCAGACAAUCAACCAGAGAAAGCCGAAAAAAUGUAUGCCAUGCUCGAUGACCAGAGCAACAGAUCUCUAGCUCGGUCACAGUUUUUUGACAUCUUCAAAAUCGAGACAGACGCAUACCCUUACACCCUCAAAACAUGUGCUGGCUUAGCCACAGUCUCUGGCAGGAAAGCAACCGGCUACCAUAUCGAAGCAGUUAAUGGUGGCGUUAACUUGUCGCUGCCAGAACUCACAGAAUGUGACGAUUUACCAGACAAUCGUGACGAAAUACCAACUCCAGAGGCUGCUCUCCACCACCCCCAUCUAAAAAGUAUUGCCAACGAAAUCCCAGCCUUGGACGACAAUGCCCAGAUCCUUCUUCUGCUGGGUAGGGACAUUCUUCGCAUUCAUAAAGUGAGGCAGCAGAUUAAUGGUCCUGGAGAUACUCCUUUUGCGCAAAGACUUGAUCUUGGAUGGGUGCUGGUGGGCGACGUGUGUUUGGGAAAAGUCCACAAGCCUAUCAUUCACAGCUACAAAACGAAUGUACUAGAAGAUGGAAGACCUUCGCUGUUCAGGCCAUGCACGAGCCACAUCAAUCUCAAGCAAGCGACCAGUCCCAGUUUCGUCAAUGGUCUUUCUCACAGUUCACCAGAUGACUCGCUUGGCCUUACAGUUUUUGCAAGGACUGACAAUGACGACAAGCGAGCCUUCUCCAUCGAAGAUGAACAGUUCAUCAAAAUAAUGAAUGAUCAAGUUUUCCAAGAUGAGUGUAACAGCUGGGUGGCACCUCUCCCUUUCAAGACACCCAGACCUCCCUUAUCAAACAACCGAGAGCAAGCUAUGACCCGCCUUUCAUCUCUGAAACGCACUCUGGAACGGAAGCCAAAGAUGAAAGAACAGUUUGUCACCUUUAUGCAAAAAAUCUUUGACAACAACCAUGCUGAACCAGCCCCUCCGCUACAAAAGGGAAGAGAAUGUUGGUACUUACCAAUGUUCGGAGUCUACCAUCCCAGAAAACCUGGACAAAUCAGAGUUGUGUUUGAUUCUAGUGCACAAUCCAAUGGCCUCUCACUCAACAAUGUCCUGCUCACCGGGCCAGACCUGAAUAACAGUCUCAUUGGAGUUCUCAUUCGCUUCAGGAGGGAGAAAAUAGCUGUUAUGGCAGACAUCGAACAGAUGUUCCAUUGUUUUGUCGUAAGAGAGGACCACCGAGAUUACUUGCGCUUCCUCUGGUUCCGAGAGAACGACCCCAGCAAAGACAUUGUCGAAUACCGGAUGAGGGUACAUGUAUUUGGCAAUAGCCUUUCCCCAGCCGUGGCCACCUACUGUCUCAGAAGAGCAGCCCAGCAGGGAGAACAGCAAUACGGGUCAGACACCAGACACUUUGUGGAGCGAGAUUUUUAUGUCGACGAUGGCCUGGUCUCAACACCCACCGAAGAGGAAGCAAUUGCUCUGCUGCAAAAGACUCAAGCUUCUCUGUCGGAGUCAAACUUGAGACUCCACAAGAUCACGUCUAACAGUGUUAGAGUCCUGACAGCAUUUCCAGCAGGGGACCAUGCUAAGGACAUUAAAGAUCUCUAUCUCGGAACAGAAACGGCGCCCACCCAAAGAAGUCUUGGUUUGAGCUGGGAAAUCAAAAUAGACACUUUCACCUUCCAAGUGUCAGUCAAUGACAAGCCAUUCACACGUCGUGGGAUUCUUUCUACAAUAAACAGUCUUUUCGACCCGCUUGGCUUUGUUGCUCCUGUGACCAUUCAAGGAAAGUCACUAUUGAGAGAGCUUACUCUUGAAGGAACUGAAUGGGACGUUCUUCUUCCCCAAGAAAAACUUAAAGUGUGGGAAACAUGGAGAGAUUCUCUUCAGGAAUUGCAACAUCUUCACAUUCCUCGUGCUUAUACCACCACUUCUCCUUCCAAGGCAAAGCAAAAGGAGAUCUGCAUCUUCUCUGAUGCCUCUACAAAGGCUGCUGUCGCAUACCUCAGAACAACUAACGAGGAUGGCCAGAUCCACGUGGGCUUCAUCUUAGGAAAAGCCAAACUUUCUCCUCCCAGCGAACCCACCAUUCCCAGACUGGAACUUUGUGCGGCAGUGCUAGCUGCAGAAAUGGCUGAACUCAUCGUUCAAGAGAUUGAUCUUCCACUUGACGCAGUCACCUUUUAUUGUGACAGUAAAGUGGUGCUGGGAUAUAUACAUAAUCAGUCAAAACGUUUCUAUGUGUAUGUCCACAACAGAGUUCAAAGGAUCCGGCAAUCCACAGACCCAAAGCAAUGGCGGUACGUGCCUACGGAACACAACCCAGCUGACCAUGCCUCCAGAUCGGUUCAAGCUUCCAUCCUCACACAAACCAACUGGUUCACAGGUCCAGCCUUUCUAUACAAACCACAAGCAGCCACUGAGCAUCAACAGUCAUUUGAAAUCAUCGAUCCAGACUCAGAUGUGGAGAUCCGACCACAAGUAACAAGUUGCGUGACGGGCCAAAGAGACAAGCGCUUGGAUCCAAAGAGAUUUGAAAGAUUCUCAUCUUGGAAGUCCUUGCAAAGAGCAGUGGCAACUCUUUUCCAUGUAACUCGUUCUUUUAAGUCAACAAACCAGGAUGUCACCGUAUGUUCUGGAUGGCACCUGUGUUCAAAGCCUCACAGUGUCGAUGAGUUGUCAAAAUCAUCUGAAGUCAUCCUCCGUGCUGUACAAAGAGCCUGCUUUUCUGAAGAAUACGACUCCCUCUCCAAGGGGCAAGACGUUAACAAGAAAAGUUCAUUGUCAAAACUAAAUCCUGUUAUAGCCCCAGAUGGCUUGUUGAGGAUUGGAGGGAGACUGAAGCUGGCAGAUCUCAGCGAUCCUGAAAAACAUCCAAUCAUUCUGCCAGGUAAACAUCAUGUGUCCACAUUGCUCAUAAGGCAUCAUCACGAACGGGUUGAACACCAAGGCCGAAGUUUCACAGAGGGCGCUGUACGAGCCGCUGGCAUUUGGUUGAUUGGUGGUAAGAGACGCAUAAGCAGUAUUUUACAUGGAUGUGUCACCUGUCUUAAACUUCGUGGAAGAAGAGAGAGGCAGAAAAUGUCGGACCUUCCCCAAGAACGGUUGAGCACUUCACCUCCCUUUACAUACACUGGUGUGGAUGUCUUCGGUCCCUGGUUUGUGACAGCAAGGCGCACAAGAGGAGGCUUAGCUCAAAGUAAACGAUGGGCUGUUCUGUUCACAUGCUUGAGUACCCGCGCCGUCCAUAUAGAGGUGAUUGAGUCCAUGGAUACUUCCUCCUUCAUCAACUCCCUGAGAAGGUUCUUUGCAAUCCGUGGCCCUUCUCAACAGCUACACUCAGACCGUGGAACCAACUUCAUUGGUGCUUGUAAAGAGCUGGAGUUUGAGAAGGUUCUGAAGGAAUCAGUGGUCCAAACAUACACCAACAGUCAAGAUUGUUCAUGGCACUUCAAUCCACCACACUCCUCGCACAUGGGUGGUGCGUGGGAACGCAUGAUCGGAGUCGCAAGGAGGAUUUUGGAUUCAAUGCUGAUGCGUACUCACUCCUCAAGUUUGACCCAUGAAGUCCUGUGCACUUUUAUGGCAGAGGCGACAGCCAUUAUCAACUCUAGACCGCUUGUUUCUAUUUCAUCUGAUCCAGAUGCUCCUCAGAUACUCACACCGGCAAUGCUCCUUACUAACAAACAAAGUAUUCUACCUCCAUCUGGGAAGUUCACCGACAAAGACUUGUUCAAGCAGCAGUGGCGCCAGGUACAAAGGUUGGCUGAUCAAUUCUGGAGUCGCUGGAAGCGCGAAUACCUGCACACUCUGCAAGUUCGACACAAAUGGCAGGAAUCGAGACCUAACAUUGAAGAUGGGGACGUCGUUAUGUUGAAGGACAGUAAAACGUGUCGUAACGACUGGCCCAUGGCCCUUGUGACUAAGACCUUUCCUGGACGUGAUGGAAGAGUUCGCAAGGUCGAGAUCAGAGUUGUUAAAGAUGGAUCCAUGAAGAAGUUCUUUAGACCAGUUACAGAGAUUAUUCUGCUUCUGAAAAGGCAGGACUGAAACAUUUAACUGUAGGUUGUUUUAGUUCAAUGUGUGGCAUCUUGUCAGAUACCAGGCGGGGAGUGUUCUGCCCCGAAACUUGUCUGUUUGACUGUAUUAUAUCGGUUUAUAUUGCGUUUGACAGAUAGACUUUUAUUUUGAAGGCGAUGUCUAGCAGGAAGUCGGCCGUCGGCCAUUUUUGUCGUAAUCACAACAAGCCGUGUGCAGCUAGUGCUAGUUAAGUGUUCAUCCAUGGUCAUCCUUGUUUCUGUUUGUGCCUUCGACAUCAUCGUCUGAUGUCUGGGCUCUCCCUUAGAGAUAGGGUGAGAAGCUCGGUCAUCUGGGAGAGACUCGGAGUAGAGUCGCUACUCCUCCACGUUGAGAAGAGCCAGAUGAGGUGGCUUGGGCAUCUCAUCAGGAUGCCUCCUGGACGCCUCCCUGGGGAGGUGUUCGGGGCAUGUCCCACCGGUAGGAGACCCCGGGGACGAUCCAGGACGCGCUGGAGAGACUAUGUCUCUCAGAUGGCCUGGGAACGCCUUGGGAUCCCCCAGGAUGAGCUGGAUGAAGUGCCUGGGGAGAGGGAAGUCUGGGAGUCCCUCCCAAAGCUGAUGCCCCCGCGACCCGACCCCGGAUAAGCGGAAGAAGAUGGAUGGAUGGAUGGAUACUGUCCACUGUUGUGCCAUUUGUCCGAUCGCGGUUUGCUUCAUGUGUGCGCCGUUUGAUUGACAGCUCCGGCGCGCUCCUUUAAGUUUGCUCUCGCAUCGUACGAGUAGCCGUUACGCAGCGGCACGGCGACAAACGGUUGUCAGCAAAUGUAUUUUGUUGUCUCGAUCGAUGACUUAUGUUUGGUGUGUUGCCGAAAGUAUUUCAUUUAUGGUUAUUUUUUAUUAACUUUUUUGCCAAUUUUCUGUGUUCUGACCAACACCCGGGGGCGAAAAGAGCAUAACCAUUCGAGCCAAUCCCCUAUACCAGGGGUCAGCAACCCGCGGCUCCAGAGCCGCAUGCGGCUCUUUAGCAUAUUUUUAAAUAUGUUUUUUAGAUGGUAAUCAUGAGACAAACAUUCGUAUGCUGUAGAAAAUGUAUGUAGUUGUAAAUACACUGCUCAAAAAAUUUAAAGGAACAGUCUUUUAUCAGGUUAUGGCAUGAAUUCAAUUAGACUUUUCUGAUAAGGUUUUGGCCAGGUACGUGGCAGAGGGGGUUGUUAAUCAGUUUCAGCUGCAUUGGUGUUGAUGGAAUUAACAACAGGUGCACUAGAGGGGCAACAACGAGAUGGUCCCCAAAACAGGACUGAUUUUGCAGGUGGAGGCCAUUUCAAGUUCCUCCCUCUUGAUCUUUUUUAACUGGUUUUCCACAAGUGUUGGCUUUAACUAGAGUCAUUAUCACGACUGGGAGCAUGAGGCGAUUUCUUAACCCUCCUGAAGUUGUGCAGACUGUCCAACUCCUCCAGGAUGGCACAGCCAUGCGUGCUGUUGCAAGAAGAUUUGAUCGCUCCCAGUACAAUCUCCAGAGCAUGGAGGAGAUUCCAGGAGACAGGCAGUUACUCUAAGAGAGCUGGACAGGGCCGUAGACGAUCCUCAUUCCAUCAGCAGGACCGGUAUCUGCUGCUUUGUGCUAGGAAGAACAGGUUGAGCACUGCCCGAGCCCUACAGAAUGACCUCGAGCAGGCUACUGGUGUGAAUGUCUCUGCCCAAACAGUCAGAAACAGACUUCACGAGGGUGGCCUCAGGGCACGACGUCCUGUAGUGUUUCCUGUGCUCAUUGCUCAGCACCAUGGAGCUCGAUUGGCAUUUGCUAUAGAACACCGGAAUUGGCAAGUCCGCCACUGGCGCCCUGUGCUUUUCACAGAUGAGAGCAGGUUUACCCUGAGCACCUGUGAUAGACGUGAAAGGGUCUGGGGAAGCCAAGGAGAGCGCUAUGCUGCCUGCAACAUCAUUUAGCAUGACCGGUUUGGUGGUGGGUCAGUGAUGGUCUGGGGAAGCAUUUCCAUGGAGGGACGAACAGAUCUCUACAGGCUAGAGAACGACAGUCUAACUGCCAUUAGGUAUCAGGAUGAAAUCCUUGCACCCAUGGUCAGACCCUACGUCGGUGCAGUAGGUCCUGGGUUCCUCCUGAUCCACAACAAUGCCCGGCCUGUUGUGGCAAGAGUAUGCAGACAGUAUCUGAAGGAUUAAGGAAUUGACACAAUUGAAUGGCCCUCAUGAUCACCUGAUCUAAACCCGAUAGAACACCUCUGGGACAUAAUGUUUCCGUCCAUCAUACGCCGCCAGGUUGCUCCUCAGACUUUACAGGAGCUCACUGAUGCCCUUAGACAGAUCUGGGAGGACAUCUCACAAAACACCAUCCGUCGUCUCAUUAGGAGCAUGCCGCGACGUUGUCAAGCAUGCAUACAAGCUCGUGGGGGCCACACAAGAUAUUGAAAAUAAUUUUGAGUUGCAGAAAUUGAAUUUAGGCAAAAAGGACGAGCCUGCUGUAUCAUUUUUUCACUUUGAUUUUGGGGUGUCUACUAUACUGAGCCCUCUGUAGGCUGAAAAUCUUUAUUUCCUUCAAAAGAUGUGGCAUCCUUUUGUUCCUGAGACAUUAAACUGUCCAUAUCAGUAUAGAUAUCCCCCAAAACAAUUUGCCAUUGAAACCUGAUGACCCCUCCGUGAGUCAUCACCUUAUCAUGGUGGAAGGGUUUGCACGUCCCAAUGAUCCUAGGAGGCAUGUUGUCUGGGGCUUCAUGCCCCUGGUAGGGUCACCCAUGGCAAACGGGUCCUAGGUGAGCGGCCAGACAAAGCACGGCUCACAUUAGCCCCUUAUGAUGAAAAAAAUAAUUGGAUCUCAUUUUCCCUCAGCCGGACGCGGGUCACCGGGGCCCCCCUCUGGAGCCAGGCCUGGAGGCGGGGCUCGAAGGCGAGUGUCUGGUGGCCGGGCCUUCGCCCAUGGGGCCCGGCCGGGCACAGCCCGAAAAGGAAACAUGGGUCCCCCUUCCCAUGGGCUCACCACCUGUGGGAGGGGCCAAAGGGGUCGGGUGCAGUGUAAGCUGGGCGGCGGCCAAAGGCAGGGACCUUGGCGGUCUGAUCCCCGGCUGCAGAAGCUGGCUCUUGGGACAUGGAAUGUCACCUCUCUGGCUGGAAAGGAGCCCGAGCUGGUGUG